CUGAAGCUAGUGAGUCGCGGCGCCGCGCACUGGUGGUUGGGUCAGUGCCGCGCGCCGCUCGGUCGUUACCGCGAGGCGCUGGUGGCCUUCAGGCUGGGCGGCGCGGGUCAGCCCUGGUUCGCCGGCUUCUAGGUCUUUGAACAGCCGCGAUGUCGAUCUUCACCCCCACCAACCAGAUCCGCCUAACCAAUGUGGCCGUGGUACGGAUGAAGCGCGCCGGGAAGCGCUUCGAAAUCGCCUGCUACAAAAACAAGGUCGUCGGCUGGCGGAGCGGCGUGGAAAAAGACCUCGAUGAAGUUCUGCAGACCCACUCAGUGUUUGUAAAUGUUUCUAAAGGUCAGGUUGCCAAAAAGGAAGAUCUCAUCAGUGCGUUUGGAACAGAUGACCAAACUGAAAUCUAUUUUGACUAAAGGAGAAGUUCAAGUAUCAGAUAAAGAAAGACACACACAACUGGAGCAGAUGUUUAGGGACAUUGCAACUAUUGUGGCAGACAAAUGUGUGAAUCCUGAAACAAAGAGACCAUACACCGUGAUCCUUAUUGAGAGAGCCAUGAAGGACAUCCACUAUUCGGUGAAAACCAACAAGAGUACAAAACAGCAGGCUUUGGAAGUGAUAAAGCAGUUAAAAGAGAAAAUGAAGAUAGAACGUGCUCACAUGAGGCUUCGGUUCAUCCUUCCAGUCAAUGAAGGCAAGAAGCUGAAAGAAAAGCUCAAGCCACUGAUCAAGGUCAUAGAAAGUGAAGAUUAUGGCCAACAGUUAGAAAUCGUAAGAGUCAAAUAUUUUCUUUGCUUCAUGUUACCUAAAUAUUGUAUUCUCUAGUAAUAAAUUUGUAGCAAACAUU
rnacentral:sRNA from 1 species